GUGCCCUCUUCGGCAGCACAUAUACUAAAAUUCAAAUGACACAGACAUUAGCCUAGUCCUUGCGCAAGGAUGACAGGCAAAUUCAUGAAGCAUUCCAUAUUUUU
ensembl:snRNA U6 U6 spliceosomal RNA